AGCUCGAACGGUACGGGCCUUCGGGUGCCGACGAGUGGCGAACGGGUGAGUAAUGCAUCGGAACGUGCCCAGUGGUGGGGGAUAGCCCGGCGAAAGCCGGAUUAAUACCGCAUACGACCUACGGGUGAAAGCGGGGGACCGUAAGGCCUCGCGCCAUUGGAGCGGCCGAUGUCAGAUUAGGUAGUUGGUGGGGUAAAGGCCUACCAAGCCGACGAUCUGUAGCUGGUCUGAGAGGACGACCAGCCACACUGGGACUGAGACACGGCCCAGACUCCUACGGGAGGCAGCAGUGGGGAAUUUUGGACAAUGGGCGCAAGCCUGAUCCAGCCAUGCCGCGUGCGGGAAGAAGGCCUUCGGGUUGUAAACCGCUUUUGUCAGGGAAGAAAUCUUCUGAGUUAAUACCUCGGGAGGAUGACGGUACCUGAAGAAUAAGCACCGGCUAACUACGUGCCAGCAGCCGCGGUAAUACGUAGGGUGCAAGCGUUAAUCGGAAUUACUGGGCGUAAAGCGUGCGCAGGCGGUUGUGCAAGACAGAUGUGAAAUCCCCGGGCUCAACCUGGGAACUGCAUUUGUGACUGCACGGCUGGAGUGCGGCAGAGG
rnacentral:rRNA from 1 species